rnacentral:lncRNA from 1 species
AGGCCACAAAAUCCAUUACACAGACUAGUUUUCUUCGACUCAUCAGUUAUUUUGUUUUCUGCAGCAAUCACAAGAAUAUCUAAGUUCCUCAUACUACAUUCUUCCCCUGCUGAUUCACAAAUCUAUUAUAAUCAGAAAGCAUGUGAAAAACUGAGAAAUGGGAGAAAACAAUCACUGACUGCCAUUUGGUAAUAGGAGUAAUUAUUAGGAGUCAAUUCGAGCAUUGCUUUUAAUCUUUUGAGUUGCUUUGCUGGUUGUCAUUCUCUAUAACUACUAAAAAGUCCAACUAGAAUUUGUUUUCUUGCUCACACAGGCAAAGAUGAUGUUUGGAGUUCAGUGGUCAAGAAAACCCCGAUGACUGCACUUCUGUGAAUUUUGAAGUCUUCAUCAGUAUAUCCAUGUAAAAAGGAGAUGACAAAAACCAAAAUAAAAUAAUUAUGGGCUGACAGGACAACUGGAUUAAAAUAAGCAUCAGUUUCAGUAAAAAGGGCUAACUUGAAGACAAAUCUUUUGAAGAUAAAUUUUGACACCAGUUCUUUAGAGGAUCUAAAGUGACCUUGAUGGAGAAUGAAAGAAAUCACAAGAUGGAAUUCCUCGAAUAAAAAUUUAUUGACUUUAAAUAAUUUUGCCUAAUGUUACAUACACACAAUUAAAAAAAAAACACCUCUUUAUGCUGUUAAGAAAGAAAGAAAGAAAGAAAGAAAAGAAAAGAAAGAAAGAAAGAAAGAAAGAAAGAAAGAAAGAAAGAAAGAAAGAAAGAAAGAAAGGAAACCCUGAUGAAGCCACACCUGUUUGGGGUACAAGAGGACACACGUGUUCCAUGUCAUGAGGGUCGAAGCAAGAGUCUGCCUCACAUGAACACAGAUAUUUUCCUUUAAGCUAGAAGAUGAUCUUUAUUUUCAUUUUUUAAGAUUCUCAAGGAUCAUGCAUUUAUAAGGCUGGACAGGAAUUUAAGGGGCCACCUUGGGAAAAAGAACUGAACGUGUGCUGAGCAGCUACCAUGAGCUGGGGCUCUUUCACCUGCUCUCUGGGUGAACUCCCAGCCCUCAAGUCUUUGGACUUGGACAAUCUGUAGCUGGAAAGAAACACAACCACAGUCCAACCCAUUCUUCAGUUAUAUUCAAGAGGCCAAGCAAGGUGAAAUCAUUUACCCACGUUUCUAUACCUUCUUUGCUGGUGCUAAGUGGGGAUGGAGAGUGAAACCAAAAACUAAAGCCAUGAUAAGAACAAUAAAGACAAACUGUUCCUCUGAAAGAACAAACGUUUUUGUAAUCGCAGACACAUUUCUUUAGCUGCUGUAUAAGCCAAAUACUGUUUUUCCUCUCAAUAGACAUUUGACAGUUGUUCUUACAUAGAUGUCCAUGCAUGUUGUUUCGUCAAAUAUCCACAUAGAAUCUGCCACAGCGCUGUGUUCCCACACCCCAACACACACAGUCCAGUGUGUUUGGUAUUAGAAUUCUUCGAACUGUGGGCUAAGGACAUUGUUUGGAAUGAUUUGGAUUCCAAUCGGUGUUCUGCCCACUGGACGAGACUGCUCUGAGACAGUGUGGGAGGUGAGCCCAAUAUCAGACAGUGAGAAAGCCACUCACGUCUGGCCUCUGCUUGGUGAGCUAGAGGAAGCUGCGUAAGUGAGUGGGAAGAAAUAAUGAAUUGCUUGCAGGAAAGUAUGUGAGAAUCCACUGAACAAGAGGCGGUGCUAAUCAACACAGGGACUCUGACACUGUUUUAAAACAGAUGCUUCCAGACUCCGAGAGGAAGGAGGGAGGACAGAAUGUCUUAAAUUUCUUUCGAGCCCUUCUGUUUUCUAAACAAUGAAAUAAAAUAAAAAAAAAAAAGAAUGUGGGUAAAAUAGCUUCCACCCACAUGAUACCAUAGACAUAGCAAUACUAUAUUUCCUAGUGUUAUUUUGGAUUAAUA